rnacentral:rRNA from 1 species
GACGAACGCUGGCGGCGUGCUUAACACAUGCAAGUCGAACGAUGACGCCCGAGCUUGCUCGGUCUGAUUAGUGGCGAACGGGUGAGUAACACGUGAGCAACCUGCCCUUCACUCUGGGAUAACCUCGGGAAAUCGGGGCUAAUACCGGAUAUGAGCUCCUGUCGCAUGGCGGGUGUUGGAAAGUUUUUCGGUGAAGGAUGGGCUCGCGGCCUAUCAGUUUGUUGGUGAGGUAGUGGCUCACCAAGGCGAUGACGGGUAGCCGGCCUGAGAGGGCGACCGGCCACACUGGGACUGAGACACGGCACAGACUCCUACGGGAGGCAGCAGUGGGGAAUAUUGCACGAUGGGCGAAAGCCUGAUGCAGCGACGCCGCGUGAGGGAUGACGGCCUUAGGGUUGUAAACCUCUUUCAGCAGGAAAGAAGCGAAAGUGACGGUACCUGCAGAAGAAGCGCCGGCUAACUACGUG